GAGUUUGAUCCUGGCUCAGGACGAACGCUGGCGGCGUGCUUAACACAUGCAAGUCGAGCGGAAAGGCCCUUCGGGGUACUCGAGCGGCGAACGGGUGAGUAACACGUGAGCAAUCUGCCCUUAGCUCUGGGAUAGCUCCGGGAAACCGGAAUUAAAACCGGAUAUGACUUUGGCUGACAUCAGCCACGGUGGAAAGUUUUUCGGCUAGGGAUGAGCUCGCGGCCUAUCAGCUAGUUGGUGGGGUAACGGCCCACCAAGGCGACGACGGGUAGCCGGCCUGAGAGGGCGACCGGCCACACUGGGACUGAGACACGGCCCAGACUCCUACGGGAGGCAGCAGUGGGGAAUAUUGCGCAAUGGGCGAAAGCCUGACGCAGCGACGCCGCGUGGGGGAAGAAGGCCUUCGGGUUGUAAACCCCUUUCAGCAGGGACGAAGCGAGAGUGACGGUACCUGCAGAAGAAGCGCCGGCUAACUACGUGCCAGCAGCCGCGGUAACACGUAGGGCGCGAGCGUUGUCCGGAAUUAUUGGGCGUAAAGAGCUCGUAGGCGGUCUGCUACGUCCGCUGUGAAAACCUAGGGCUUAACCCUGGGCUUGCAGUAGAUACGAGCAGACUAGAGGUAGGUAGGGGAGAAUGGAAUCCCCGGUGUAGCGGUGAAAUGCGCAGAUAUCGGGAGGAACACCGGUGGCGAAGGCGGUUCUCUGGGCCUUACCUGACGCUGAGGAGCGAAAGCGUGGGGAGCAAACAGGAUUAGAUACCCCGGUAGUCCACGCCGUAAACGUUGGGCGCUAGGUGUGGGGUCCUUCCACGGAUUCCGUGCCGCAGCUAACGCAUUAAGCGCCCCGCCUGGGGGAGUACGGCCGCAAGGCUAAAACUCAAAGGAAUUGACGGGGGGCCCGCACAAGCGGCGGAAGCAUGUUGCUUUAUUUCGACGCCACCGCGAAAAAGCCUUACCAAGGUUUUGACAUGCAGGGGAAAAACCCGUAAAAGAUACGGUGGUCCGUUAAGGGCCCCUGCCACAGGUGGGUGCAUGGGCG
rnacentral:rRNA from 1 species